rnacentral:sRNA from 1 species
GGGUCUGUCGGGGAGAGAAAGAAGAACAGCUUAAUAAGAAGGAUCGGAGGCUCCUGGCCCAGUUCCCUCCCACACUUGACUCAUUAGUCACAACGAACAAACAACUGUUAAAGCAGUCAGUCAAUCAAAGCCAACUGAAUCUUGGUUAAUUUAAGUAUUACUGCAACUAGUUAGGAUUAAAAACUAGCGCUGUGGCUUUCAAUAUCUAGCUCGCUGUUCCCCAUAUCCCGAAGACAGACCAUCGGAGAAAUUAUAAAUGGAUAAGGCUUUUGAAGGCAGAGCUGGCAGGAGUCUGUCUACAGGAGACUGGAGGAACACUGGCUCCUUUACAUCACUUCCAGACCAGGGCAGCUAACCUGGAGAACCACAGGGACAGCACCUUCUGUCAGUAUGGCUCACUGACGCUUAUGACCACGGACACCAGACUCUGAAGACCCCUAACACUGCUCAUCAUCGUUCACUGCAUAAAGACUAUCCGGGAAGUUAUGGGAAUGUUUGGGCCAUAGUGAACUCAUUAUUGGGACAACAAAAAAGAAUGUUUUCUUGUAAUUAAAGUGAUUAUAACUGCUGAAUGAAUUCCUUUAGAAUGUUUGUGCGUUGUUAAUCGCCAGUGUUUUCUGGGCACAUCAAAUCCUAUUGUCAAGCAGAUUUUCUAUUUCUGUUGUUUUCGUGGUUUGACGGCACAUGAUGAUCAAGCACGACACACAUAAAUAGAAUGUCAUCAAUAAUUUUCCUUCAAUUCUUUACUUGCGAUGUCUCCUGAUGCUAAUUGUUUGGGUGUUGAAGCUUAAUUUUAAGCAUUUAAAACACAUUAACACUUAAUAUUCGGCUUUGAAUCUAACACACUUUUCCUCACCCCAUUGUUUGUGUCACUAUUUAGUUUACAGUGUGCAAACAUUGUACCUGAUAGAUCCACUAUGAUAACCACCAUUAAAUAUGAUAAUCACUUCACCUAAAACAGGCAGGUUCAGUGAAUGUCUUGCUUUACAGAUGUGGAUCUGAGGCACCGACAUGGAAAGAACACACUCAAGGUCUCCCAGGAAGCAAGAGGAAAUGUUGGGAAUUGAACCCAAGGCUUGCCUGACAGUUCAAUUGCAGAUUUAUUUGUUUUAUAUGAGAAUUAUAUUUAUCAAGAAAACCACACCCAAUUGGUACACUCCUUUCAACUAAGCAAUGCUUUAAUUUUACUUCAUGAAUAUCAGUAACUUCACUAAAGUCCAUCAGUGAUUACUUAAAAUACAUCAUACCCUGUGCUACCUACUGGAUCUUACAGGCCGUCUUCAGAGUUUAAAUAGGCUUGAUUUCCAGUAUGCUCUUAGAAUAUCGAUAAAGUUAUACUUGUUUUCCAUAAACAUUUAAGUCUUCAUUUGGAAUUAAGCCAAAAUUACAUCUGCCCAAACACUGCCCGACUUUCAGACAUAAAGAGCUACAUUGUCAAAAAUACAUUAUAGCUCUACCCCCCAAACAUGACAAAAAGGUAUCAAAGGGCAG